rnacentral:rRNA from 1 species
CAAGCAGUGGAGCGUUUUGGGGUGGGGUGACUGCGUACCUUUUGUAUAAUGGGUCAGCGACUUAUAUUCUGUAGCAAGGUUAACCGGAUAGGGGAGCCGCAGGGAAACCGAGUCUUAACUGGGCGAAAUGAGUUGCAGGGUAUAGACCCGAAACCCGGUGAGCUAGCCAUGGGCAGGUUGAAGGUUGGGUAACACUAACUGGAGGACCGAACCGACUAAUGUUGAAAAAUUAGCGGAUGACUUGUGGCUGGGGGUGAAAGGCCAAUCAAACCGGGAGAUAGCUGGUUCUCCCCGAAAGCUAUUUAGGUAGCGCCUCGUGAGUUCAUCUUCGGGGGUAGAGCACUGUUUCGGCUAGGGGGCCAUCCCGGCUUACCAACCCGAUGCAAACUGCGAAUACCGAAGAAUGGUAUCACGGGAGACACACGGCGGGUGCUAACGUCCGUCGUGAAGAGGGAAACAACCCAGACCGCCAGCUAAGGUCCCGAAGUCAUGGUUAAGUGGGAAACGAUGUGGGAAGGCCCAGACAGCCAGGAUGUUGGCUUAGAAGCAGCCAUCAUUGAAAGAAAGCGUAAUAGCUCACUGGUCGAGUCGGCCUGCGCGGAAGAUGUAACGGGGCUAAACCAUGCACCGAAGCUGCGGCAGCGACACGUAAGUGUCGCUGGGUAGGGGAGCGUUCUGUAAGCCGUGGAAGGUGGCGCCGUGAGGCCUGCUGGAGGUAUCAGAAGUGCGAAUGCUGACAUAAGUAACGAUAAAGCGGGUGAAAAACCCGCUCGCCGGAAGACCAAGGGUUCCUGUCCAACGUUAAUCGGGGCAGGGUGAGUCGACCCCUAAGGUGAGGCUGAAAAGCGUAGCUGAUGGGAAACAGGUUAAUAUUCCUGUACUGAAUGUGACUGCGAAGGGGGGACGGAGAAGGCUAGGCCAUCCGGGCGACGGUUGUCCCGGUUUAAGCGGGUAGGUGGGAGGAGCAGGCAAAUCCGCUCUUCUGUGAACACUGAGGCGUGAUGACGAGCCGCUACGGCGGUGAAGUGGUUGAUGCCCGGCUUCCAGGAAAAGCCUCUAAGCAUCAGGUCAUAUUGAAUCGUACCCCAAACCGACACAGGUGGUCAGGUAGAGAAUACUCAGGCGCUUGAGAGAACUCGGGUGAAGGAACUAGGCAAAAUGGUGCCGUAACUUCGGGAGAAGGCACGCUGGCAUUAGGUGAAGGAGUUGACCUCUGGAGCUGAAGCCAGUCGCAGAGACCAGCUGGCUGCAACUGUUUAUUAAAAACACAGCACUGUGCAAACACGAAAGUGGACGUAUACGGUGUGACGCCUGCCCGGUGCUGGAAGGUUAAUUGAUGGGGUUAGCCGCAAGGCGACGCUCUUGAUCGAAGCCCCAGUAAACGGCGGCCGUAACUAUAACGGUCCUAAGGUAGCGAAAUUCCUUGUCGGGUAAGUUCCGACCUGCACGAAUGGCGUAAUGAUGGCCAGGCUGUCUCCACCCGAGACUCAGUGAAAUUGAACUCGCUGUGAAGAUGCAGUGUUCCCGCGGCAAGACGGAAAGACCCCGUGAACCUUUACUAUAGCUUGACACUGAACAUGGAGCCUUGAUGUGUAGGAUAGGUGGGAGGCUAGGAAGUGUGGACGCCAGUCUGCAUGGAGCCGACCUUGAAAUACCACCCUUGAAUGUUCGAUGUUCUCACUUGGGCCCGUGAACCGGGCUGAGGACAGUGUCUGGUGGGUAGUUUGACUGGGGCGGUCUCCUCCCAAAGAGUAACGGAGGAGCACGAAGGUUGGCUAAUCACGGUCGGACAUCGUGAGGUUAGUGCAAAGGCAUAAGCUGGCUUGACUGCGAGAGUGACGGCUCGAGCAGGUACGAAAGUAGGUCUUAGUGAUCCGGUGGUUCUGAAUGGAAGGGCCAUCGCUCAACGGAUAAAAGGUACUCCGGGGAUAACAGGCUGAUACCGCCCAAGAGUUCAUAUCGACGGCGGUGUUUGGCACCUCGAUGUCGGCUCAUCACAUCCUGGGGCUGAAGUGGGUCCCAAGGGUAUGGCUGUUCGCCAUUUAAAGUGGUACGCGAGCUGGGUUUAGAACGUCGUGAGACAGUUCGGUCCCUAUCUGCCGUGGGCGUAGGAAGAUUGAAAGGGGCUGCUCCUAGUACGAGAGGACCGGAGUGGACGCACCGCUGGUGUACGGGUUGUCAUGCCAAUGGCAUAGCCCGGUAGCUAAGUGCGGGAGAGAUAACCGCUGAAAGCAUCUAAGCGGGAAACUUGCCUUGAGAUGAGUCUUCCCUUGACUUGAGUCACGGAAGGAACGUUUAAGACGAAGACGUGGAUAGGCUGGGUGUGUAAGUGCAGCGAUGCAUUGAGCUGACCAGUACUAAUGAACCGAGCGGCUUAACCUU